rnacentral:rRNA from 1 species
UGAGGAAUAUUGGUCAAUGGGCGCAAGCCUGAACCAGCCAUCCCGCGUGCAGGAAGACGGCCCUAUGGGUUGUAAACUGCUUUUCCAGGGGGAGAAUUUUUCUGUCGUGACAGGAAUUGACGGUACCCUGGGAACAAGCAUCGGCUAACUCCGUGCCAGCAGCCGCGGUAAUACGGAGGAUGCGAGCGUUAUCCGGAUUUAUUGGGUUUAAAGGUGCGUAGGCGGAUUGAUAAGUCAGUGGUGAAAACCUGCAGUUUAACUGUAGACUUGCCGUUGAUACUGUCAGUCUUGAGUGUGGUCAAGGUAGGCGGAAUGUGUAAUGUAGCGGUGAAAUGCUUAGAUAUUACACAGAACACCGAUUGCGAAGGCAGCUUACUGGGCCAUUACUGACGCUGAUGCACGAAAGCGUGGGGAUCGAACAG